rnacentral:rRNA from 1 species
GUGCAGGGUCACUCAGUGGCGGACGGGUGAGUAACACGUAAGAAUUUACCUUUAGGAGGGGGAUAACAGCGAGAAAUUGCUGCUAAUACCCCAUAUGCUUUCGAGUGAAAUGGAUUUUCCGCCUAAAGAGAAGCUUGCGGCUGAUUAGCUUGUUGGUGAGGUAAUGGCUUACCAAGGCGACGAUCAGUAUCUGGUUUGAGAGGAUGAUCAGACACACUGGAACUGAGACACGGUCCAGACUCCUACGGGAGGCAGCAGUGGGGAAUUUUCCGCAAUGGGCGAAAGCCUGACGGAGCAAUACCGCGUGAGGGAUGACGGCCUAUGGGUUGUAAACCUCUUUUUUCAGGGAGGAAUAAAUGACGUGUACCUGAAGAAUAGGCAUCGGCUAACUCCGUGCCAGCAGCCGCGGUAAGACGGAGGAUGCAAGUGUUAUCCGGAAUCACUGGGCGUAAAGCGUCUGUAGGUGGUUUAAUAAGUCAACUGUUAAAUCUUGAGGCUCGACUUCAAAAUCGCAGUCGAAACUAUUAGACUAGAGUAUAGUAGGGGUAAAGGGAAUUUCCAGUGGAGCGGUGAAAUGCGUAGAGAUUGGAAAGAACACCGAUGGCGAAGGCACUUUACUGGGCUAUUACUAACACUCAGAGACGAAAGCU